rnacentral:rRNA from 1 species
UACUCGAGUGGCGAACGGGUGAGUAACACGUGGGUGAUCUGCCCUGCACUUCGGGAUAAGCUUGGGAAACUGGGUCUAAUACCGGAUAGGAACCAUCUUUAGUGUGGUGGUUGGAAAGUUUUUUCGGUGUAGGAUGAGCUCGCGGCCUAUCAGCUUGUUGGUGGGGUAAUGGCCUACCAAGGCGGCGACGGGUAGCCGGCCUGAGAGGGUGUACGGCCACAUUGGACUGAGAUACGGCCCAG